rnacentral:lncRNA from 1 species
AAGCGAUUCACAAGUUUUGGGAGCUAAAUCCAACAUUUAAAAAGGUUAGGAACUUAAUUGAAUACCUUUGGAACUUGUAUCAGAUUGAUUAUGAAUGAUUGAGGAAUGUCAUGAACCAAAUUAAAUUGAAUUAAAGCUGAAGGACCAAGAUUCAAAGAAGAAAAGAUGCAGAUUGAACAUAAGACGAAAUAUGCAGAUCAAAUUGUACAUGCUGAAAACUUACAAGGCGAUGAUUGCAAUUCUCCAAGGACUGUGAUCAAGUAGAGCCCAAAACUGUUCAACUCUUCAAUUAAGUUAUUUUUGAGUUAAUUAUUGCCAUAGUUGAAUUUUAUUUAUUUAUUUUUUCUUUUCUUUUCUUUUUCUCUUUAGCUACUUAUUUUUCUUGGAAGACACAUAGCAUGUGAUAACAUUCAUUGUAAGGCUUAAUAGAGGCUAGGAAUAAUGUCUAACUCAUGCAUGAUCCAAUUGAUGUUCUUGUGCUUUUAAUAAUUGCUUUGUCCUUCCACUAAUGUAGUCAAUAAUGAAGCUGAGGGCCAAUCUUUUUGUUUGGCAGGGUCAGAAUGGAGAAAAUUGUUCCUCAUCUGUGAAGAAAAUAGGAGAGACCAACAAACAGAUUUCAUAUUUCGAAAUCCUCUUUCAUCUAGAUGCUUUAGAUCCCACCAAAUUUUUCCAUUUUGAUCUCGGAGGAACUUUUAUAUGGAAGUUGUACACAUCAAUGAUAUAUAUACAAGUACAUGUCUCAACAUGAAUCAUUUCUACCAUUUUCACCUUUAAAUAUAAUGAAGUUACAGUGCUGGAAACCCAUGCAGAAUCACUUAUCANNN